rnacentral:rRNA from 1 species
UCGGAUUGUAGUCUGCAACUCGACUACAUGAAGCUGGAAUCGCUAGUAAUCGCGAAUCAGAAUGUCGCGGUGAAUACGUUCCCGGGUCUUGUACACACCGCCCGUCACACCAUGGGAGUUGGGAAUGCCCGAAGCCGGUGACCUAACCGAAAGGGAGGAGCCGUCGAAGGCAGGCUUGAUAACUGGGGUGAAGUCGUAACAAGGUAGC